rnacentral:rRNA from 1 species
GAUGAACGCUGGCGGCGUGCCUAAUACAUGCAAGUCGAGCCAACAGAUGAGGAGCUUGCUCCUCUGACGUUAGCGGCGGACGGGUGAGUAACACGUGGAUAACCUACCUAUAAGACUGGGAUAACUUCGGGAAACCGGAGCUAAUACCGGAUAAUAUAUUGAACCGCAUGGUUCAAUAGUGAAAGACGGUUUUGCUGUCACUUAUAGAUGGAUCCGCGCCGCAUUAGCUAGUUGGUAAGGUAACGGCUUACCAAGGCAACGAUGCGUAGCCGACCUGCGAGGGUGAUCGGCCACACUGGAACUGAGACACGGUCCAGACUCCUACGGGAGGCAGCAGUAGGGAAUCUUCCGCAAUGGGCGAAAGCCUGACGGAGCAACGCCGCGUGAGUGAUGAAGGUCUUCGGAUCGUAAAACUCUGUUAUUAGGGAAGAACAAAUGUGUAAGUAACUAUGCACGUCUUGACGGUACCUAAUCAGAAAGCCACGGCUAACUACGUG